GGCAUUCAAGUUGAAGAUGGCCAAAUAACUCAUGCAUUGAGGCUUGCAUUUCACUGUUGUGAUCAGAAUUAUACGUCUAGUGCAGUAGAACAGAUUCAACCUCCAUGGUCGUGUUGUGGUCUCAAUGGAUACCCACGUAAUUGUACUGCAGAUAUGAGCUAUACUAAGAUUUGUCAAGAAACUAUAACAAAAUGGCUUCAAAAGUACCAGGCGAGCAUAUAUACAUCAGUAGCAGUGUUACACGUAUUAUUGGCGUCCUGCUCUCUCCUACGACGAGCGUAUAGUUCGUCUUUCUCGCACACCUAGCAUCAACAAAGGAGUGGAAGCACUCCUAGAAAACGCUCAUCACGCGUUUCCCCCGCACCUGACGGAAGAAAUGAUGAUAUGGUCAUGAUUGUAUUAGGAAGAGGUAGGAUGGGUUGGCAGA